rnacentral:lncRNA from 1 species
UAGUAAACGUGUCGAAAUCAUUCUCCAGUUUUCUUUGAGACUCUUCGUUUUCGGUAUCGACAAUGGAGAGAUCGACGGAGCCCCAAUCGGCGCCGUAGAGGACGGAAGUGGGACGGACGUGGACAAGGAUGACGGCGUCACCUGGACGGAGGUACUGAUGGACGGCCCACUUAACGGCGAAAGCGGAUUCGUCGCUUAGAUCGACGGCGAUGCCGAUCUUGCGUUGAGCACCGGCGGUAGGGGUAUCGGUGGUGGAAGGAGUGGUAGGAGGUGGGAAACGGGGGGAAGAGGAUUUGAUUUUGAUGUUAGCGAGGCGGGGGAGAUCGGAAUCGGAGGUGGGGGUUGGUUGUUGCUGCAUUUCUUUUGGGGAAAGUUUGGGGGU